CAGCUGGUAGAGCGCAUAAGUCUUGUAACCAAAAGGUUGCAGGUUCA
rnacentral:tRNA from 1 species